rnacentral:tRNA from 1 species
GGAGGAGUGUGCCGAAUGGUAAGGCACCGGUUUCGAAAACCGGCGUCCGCAAGGACUUGCAGGUUCAAAUCCUGUCUCCUCCGCAA